rnacentral:rRNA from 1 species
CCCAGUAGCGGCGAGCGAACGGGGAGGAGCCCAGAGCCUGAAUCAGUGUGUGUGUUAGUGGAAGCGUCUGGAAAGGCGCGCGAUACAGGGUGACAGCCCCGUACACAAAAAUGCACAUGCUGUGAGCUCGAUGAGUAGGGCGGGACACGUGGUAUCCUGUCUGAAUAUGGGGGGACCAUCCUCCAAGGCUAAAUACUCCUGACUGACCGAUAGUGAACCAGUACCGUGAGGGAAAGGCGAAAAGAACCCCGGCGAGGGGAGUGAAAAAGAACCUGAAACCGUGUACGUACAAGCAGUGGGAGCACGCUUAGGCGUGUGACUGCGUACCUUUUGUAUAAUGGGUCAGCGACUUAUAUUCUGUAGCAAGGUUAACCGAAUAGGGGAGCCGAAGGGAAACCGAGUCUUAACUGGGCGUUAAGUUGCAGGGUAUAGACCCGAAACCCGGUGAUCUAGCCAUGGGCAGGUUGAAGGUUGGGUAACACUAACUGGAGGACCGAACCGACUAAUGUUGAAAAAUUAGCGGAUGACUUGUGGCUGGGGGUGAAAGGCCAAUCAAACCGGGAGAUAGCUGGUUCUCCCCGAAAGCUAUUUAGGUAGCGCCUCGUGAAUUCAUCUCCGGGGGUAGAGCACUGUUUCGGCAAGGGGGUCAUCCCGACUUACCAACCCGAUGCAAACUGCGAAUACCGGAGAAUGUUAUCACGGGAGACACACGGCGGGUGCUAACGUCCGUCGUGAAGAGGGAAACAACCCAGACCGCCAGCUAAGGUCCCAAAGUCAUGGUUAAGUGGGAAACGAUGUGGGAAGGCCCAGACAGCCAGGAUGUUGGCUUAGAAGCAGCCAUCAUUUAAAGAAAGCGUAAUAGCUCACUGGUCGAGUCGGCCUGCGCGGAAGAUGUAACGGGGCUAAACCAUGCACCGAAGCUGCGGCAGCGACGCUUAUGCGUUGUUGGGUAGGGGAGCGUUCUGUAAGCCUGCGAAGGUGUGCUGUGAGGCAUGCUGGAGGUAUCAGAAGUGCGAAUGCUGACAUAAGUAACGAUAAAGCGGGUGAAAAGCCCGCUCGCCGGAAGACCAAGGGUUCCUGUCCAACGUUAAUCGGGGCAGGGUGAGUCGACCCCUAAGGCGAGGCCGAAAGGCGUAGUCGAUGGGAAACAGGUUAAUAUUCCUGUACUUGGUGUUACUGCGAAGGGGGGACGGAGAAGGCUAUGUUGGCCGGGCGACGGUUGUCCCGGUUUAAGCGGGUAGGCUGGUUUUCCAGGCAAAUCCGGAAAA